rnacentral:rRNA from 1 species
UACGAAGGGGGCGAGCGUUGUUCGGAUUUACUGGGCGUAAAGGGCGCGCAGGCGGCUCAUUUUGUCAGGCGUGAAAGCCCCGGGCUUAACCUGGGAACUGCGUUUGAUACGGGUGGGCUAGAGUUCGGGAGAGGAGAGUGGAAUUCCCAGUGUAGAGGUGAAAUUCGUAGAUAUUGGGAAGAACACCGGUGGCGAAGGCGGCUCUCUGGACCGAUACUGACGCUGAGGCGCGAAAGCGUGGGGAGCGAACCGG